GGAAGUAAAAGUUGUAACAAGGUCUCCGUUGGUGAACCAGCGGAGGGAUCAUUACCGAGUUAUACAACUCCCAAACCCCUGUGAACAUACCACACGUUGCUUCGGCGGAUCGCGCCGGCGCCGUCGCCCCCCAGGGAGGUGGCGGCCCGGAUACCAAGGCGCCCGCCGAGGGACCCAAACACUGUCUUCGCCGCCGGCGGAAUCUACGUCUGAGCGAUUUACAAAAUGAAUCAAAACUUUCAACAACGGAUCUCUUGGCUCUG
rnacentral:misc_RNA from 1 species